rnacentral:rRNA from 1 species
GAUGAACGCUAGCGGCAGGCCUAACACAUGCAAGUCGAGGGGUAGAACACUUCGGUGUUUGAGACCGGCGCACGGGUGCGUAACGCGUAUGCAAUCUACCUUGUACAGGGGAAUAGCCCAGAGAAAUUUGGAUUAAUGCCCCAUAGUAUAUAACCUUCGCAUGUUGGUUAUAUUAAAGCUCCAACGGUACAAGAUGAGCAUGCGUCCCAUUAGUUAGUUGGUAAGGUAACGGCUUACCAAGACGAUGAUGGGUAGGGGUCCUGAGAGGGAGAUCCCCCACACUGGUACUGAGACACGGACCAGACUCCUACGGGAGGCAGCAGUGAGGAAUAUUGGUCAAUGGGCGCAAGCCUGAACCAGCCAUGCCGCGUGCAGGAAGACGGUCCUAUGGAUUGUAAACUGCUUUUAUACAGGAAGAAACAACUCUACGUGUAGAGUCUUGACGGUACUGUAGGAAUAAGGAUCGGCUAACUCCGUGCCAGCAGCCGCAGUAAGAC